ACUGUGAAAGUACUAUUUACUCUACAAUGGUGAGGAGUCCUCAUCAAAAUCAAAAAAUCUAAUUUCUUUUACAGGACCCAGAUGCUAUACAGUGGGAAAACCAGCCUGGCAACAGUGCGUAUUAAUAAAAGGACACCACAUCCUGCCAAAUUCCAGCUGCGCUAAUUGUAUUGUGUUCACAGAGCUCACAAGCUAUCAGAAAGUUGUAUGGCAACCACCUCCGGCGCCAAAUAGAACUGGCAGACAUAGACAUUCAGUACAAGAAGAAAAAGAUGGAAAAUCUUGCACUGGAGUCCGAAAUAAAAAAGAGGACAAUUAGGAAACUGGACCUUGAAAUAAAAAAACUUGAGAGGGAGCUCCAAGAAGAUGACACAGCUCAAAAUAAAAAUUAGGUAUAUUCUCGUAAAGUCAAGUGAGCCAUGACAUAUGAGCUCUUAUUGUGAGCACACAGGACGGUGGCAUCUUUCUAAGGUUUUUUUUAUUUUCCCAGCAAUCAGUACAACCAAGUCAUCGUUAUAAGGCAUCGCCCUCUUUUGCCCACCCCCCCAGCACCAGGUGUGGCCACUAGCCUAUAUGAAGGCCCAAAAUUGUGUGUUCCUUUCUGCUCUGACAAUGGCAUGCCCAUUCGUGCGAGAUGUGGUGGAUGAAGAAGCACUUGUGCUGAGGAGAGCCUUCAGGCGAGAAAGGGUCUUCAGGGACCGGUUGGACCCACUGGCCUUCCCUGAUGACCAUCUAUAUGAAAGAUACAGGUUUUCUGCAGAUGGCAUCAGGUAUCUAUGCAGACUACUGGGUCCCAGGAUUAAGCACCGCACUGCACGGAGCCAUGCACUGAGUGUGGAGCAAAUGGUUUGUGUGGCCUUGCGCUUUUUUGCUAGUGGAGCCUUCCUGUACUCAGUGGGGGAUGCAGAACAGCUGAACAAGGCCACAAUUUGCCGCACAAUAAGGAGUGCGUGUCUGGCUAUCAAAGCAUUAGCAGAUGUCUUCAUCUCCUUCCCUGGCCACAGAAGACUCUGUGACAUCAAAGAGGAGUUCUAUAGGAUUGCAGGUAAGAGGAUCUACAAAUUACAGGACAACUGUUAACACAUAGUAGGAUACUCAUUACUUUGUGUGACAGGUUUCCCCAAUGUCAUUGGUGCAGUGGACUGCACACACAUAAGGUUAAAAGCCCCCUCAGGUGCCCAUGAGGCCGAUUUUGUGAAUAGGAAAUCCUUUCACAGCAUUAAUGUUCAGGUGAACAUAACUUUUUGAUAUUGUCCAUUGACGAACACUCUGCAUUGCCAGUGAUGUGCAUUGAUUGGUGUAAUAUUCCUCAUCUUAUGAUUUCAGAUGGUCUGCAAUGCUGACUGUGUGAUCAGCAAUGUUGUGGCAAAAUGGCCUGGCUCAGUCCAUGACUCCAGAAUCUUUCGGGCCUCUGAAAUCUAUCAGUGCCUAUCACAAGGUGAAUUCUCUGGUGUGUUGCUGGGAGACAGGGGGUAUGGCUGCCAGCCUUUUCUCCUGACACCUUUCACAGACCCCCAGGAAGCACAGCAGGCCUACAACCAUGCCCAUGCCAGGACCAGGGCCAGAGUUGAAAUGACCUUUGGCCUCCUGAAGGCACGCUUUCACUGCCUUCACAAAUUAAGGGUCAGCCCUGUUAGGGCAUGUGAUAUUACUGUGGCUUGUGCUGUCCUCCACAAUGUGGCCUGCCUGAGGAAGGAGAGGGCCCCCAGAGUGCCACCAGCCAUGGACUGGGACAAUCCGGCAAUCUUCCCUGAUGACGACAGUGGUCGGCUGCUGAGGGACCAAUAUGUGUUGAAUUAUUUUAGUUAGUAUGUGUGCUUUCAAUUUUGGUUAAAUAUGUCCUGCGGUGGCAGAGGAAUUUGGGUUUUUUUGGGUUCGUUUUUUUACGAAUUUGGCCUCUUAUGAUGUUUGUGCGGUAUACUGUGUGUAAUACAAGGCUGCAGGGAGGCUACUGCAUCCAUUCAUUUGUCUGUUCAGUUGAUGUGUAUGGAUUUGUCCUGCAUUUAUUUUAGUGUGCAGACAUGCAGGGUGUGUUAUAUACAGACCUUUGAAUGUGUAUGUAUCAUUUUGUAUAAUAUGCUUGGAUUCUGUGCUUUCCAUCUUGUAGAGUCACUGUGACUUCAGUUUCGAAAGGAGCUGAUGGUUUACCUGCUUUGUUUUGUCCUUAUUCAAUAAAGGAACAUAAUGUUACACAUUGUGUUUUUAUAUUCA